CAUACCACUUGUUGCCUCGGCGGAUCAGCCCGCUCCCGGUAAAACGGGACGGCCCGCCAGAGGACCCCUAAACUCUGUUUCUAUAUGUAACUUCUGAGUAAAACCAUAAAUAAAUCAAAACUUUCAACAACGGAUCUCUUGGUUCUGGCAUCGAUGAAGAACGCAGCAAAAUGCGAUAAGUAAUGUGAAUUGCAGAAUUCAGUGAAUCAUCGAAUCUUUGAACGCACAUUGCGCCCGCCAGUAUUCUGGCGGGCAUGCCUGUUCGAGCGUCAUUUCAACCCUCAAGCACAGCUUGGUGUUGGGACUCGCGUUAAUUCGCGUUCCCCAAAUUGAUUGGCGGUCACGUCGAGCUUCCAUAGCGUAGUAGUAAAACCCUCGUUACUGGUAAUCGUCGCGGCCACGCCGUUAAACCCCAACUUCUGAAUGUUGACCUCGGAUCAGGUA
rnacentral:rRNA from 1 species